rnacentral:rRNA from 1 species
UCUGGUGCCCAUAGCGUCCCGGAACCACCCCUUCCCUUCCCGAACAGGACCGUGAAACAGGACCGCGCCAAUGAUAUUGCCCUUCCCGGGUGAGAAAGUAGGUCAGCGCCAGAC